rnacentral:rRNA from 1 species
AGUGAACGCUGGCGGUAGGCCUAACACAUGCAAGUCGAACGGCAGCACAGUAAGAGCUUGCUCUUACGGGUGGCGAGUGGCGGACGGGUGAGGAAUUCAUCGGAAUCUACUUUUUCGUGGGGGAUAACGUAGGGAAACUUACGCUAAUACCGCAUACGACCUACGGGUGAAAGCAGGGGAUCUUCGGACCUUGCGCGAUUGAAUGAGCCGAUGUCGGAUUAGCUAGUUGGCGGGGUAAAGGCCCACCAAGGCGACGAUCCGUAGCUGGUCUGAGAGGAUGAUCAGCCACACUGGAACUGAGACACGGUCCAGACUCCUACGGGAGGCAGCAGUGGGGAAUAUUGGACAAUGGGCGCAAGCCUGAUCCAGCCAUACCGCGUGGGUGAAGAAGGCCUUCGGGUUGUAAAGCCCUUUUGUUGGGAAAGAAAAGCAGCAGGUUAAUACCCCGCUGUUCUGACGGUACCCAAAGAAUAAGCACCGGCUAACUUCGUG